UCACAGGGGUGGCCGCGCGCUACCUGUCGAGGAAGAGGGAAGAGCUCCAGUUCCACAGUCAGGCCAUUUCAGUCCCAAGGAAAGACACUAGUCUGUCCCACUGAAACCUGAAUAUUCACGCCCGGUUUGCCAGAAGAGCUGAAGAAUUAGGUCCAUCUUCAGGAUGCGGUGAACCAGUGUCCCAAGAACAGCACCAGGAGACACUGAACAGGACACCAUCUCCCAUUGCCGCUGGAGCUCCAGGCACAGCUGAUGAUUGGUACAGCUGAGCCUGUGGGAAGCUCACAUGGCUUCUGGCCCUUCCCUUCCUGUAGAUACCUCCCUCCCUCCAGCCCUCAGACACUGCCCAUUCCCUCUUCCCCUCCCAUAUCACCCCUUGUUUUUGGAUUUCAUUAAUAAACGGUUUGGCUUCUUCA